GAACUUAACUGGGGUCAAAUUGACUCUAGUAGGGAGUCCCUGCAUUCAAUAUGGCGACUUCCUAACAGAGUCAGGCUGACUCCUUUUAAGACGCUCACCGA
rnacentral:pre_miRNA from 12 species